AGUGAACGCUGGCGGCGUGCUUAACACAUGCAAGUCGAACGAGAACGGAAUAUAGCUUGCUAUAUUUGUCAGCUAAGUGGCGCACGGGUGAGUAAUGUAUAGAUAACCUGCCCUUAAGAAAGGAAUAACAGUUGGAAACGACUGCUAAUGCCCUAUAUGCCUUUAAUACAUAAGUAUGCAAGGGAAACGCUUUAGUGCUUAAGGAUGGGUCUGUGUGGUAUCAGCUUGUUGGUGAGGUAAUGGCUCACCAAGGCUAUGACGCCGAACUGGUUUGAGAGGAUGAGCAGUCACACUGGAACUGAGACACGGUCCAGACUCCUACGGGAGGCAGCAGUGGGGAAUAUUGCACAAUGGACGAAAGUCUGAUGCAGCAACGCCGCGUGGAGGAUGACACAUUUCGGUGCGUAAACUCCUUUUAUAUAGGAAGAUAAUGACGGUACUAUAUGAAUAAGCACCGGCUAACUCCGUGCCAGCCGCCGCCGUAACAC
rnacentral:rRNA from 1 species